UGGGUAAUCCACCCUCAGCACCGGGAUAGCCCGGGGAAACUCGGAUUAAUACCGGAUAGCCCCUCCGACUUUCGAGUCGGUCGGGAAAGGUAGCUUAGGCCUCUGGCCGGGGACGAGCCUGCGGCGGAUUAGCUUGUUGGUGGGGUAACGGCCUACCAAGGCGACGAUCCGUAGCUGGUCUGAGAGGACGAUCAGCCACACUGGGACUGAGACACGGCCCAGACUCCUACGGGAGGCAG
rnacentral:rRNA from 1 species